ensembl:lncRNA
UUCCAUUGCCGUGUUUCUGUGGCCGGUGAAAAGAUACUCUGCCUCCCCUCUGGCCUUGAUGAAGGCACACACAUCUGUUGAGGACCCUACAUAGAUAUAAAAUUUUAUGAAAAACAUUUUAACCACCACAAGACAACUAUCGUAACGGCAGCUAUUAACGCCCCAGCUAUUAAAAAAGUGACAAACAGUUAAAAACAUGUAUAGAUCGAAAAAUCUUUAAUCAAUCAACCUUACAUAUUUCAGUAGCAGUGGGUGUCUAGAUUAGACUGGUUACUUGUUUGGAUUUCAACUGAAACGUGUUUUCCGUUUUUUUUCCUUUGUGUAGACCCACACGCAAAAUUAGCUGAUACAGGAGGUGGUACCCAUUAACAGCCUUUCUCGUCGCGAAAUCAAAUUCGUUCAGUUCGUUCGUCGAACAUUAGCCUUGAUAUUUUUAAAUAGCAGGUUAUUUUUAAAGUACAUUUUGUAUGCAGUUACAAUGCACAUUUUCUAGAAACAUAAACAACCGUUCACUUUCUUAACUAUCUUGCUGGCGAACUAGCUAUGACAGUUAACAGCAACCAACUGACAUUAAGACACAUUGAUGUAUUUUUAAAUAGCAGGUUAUUUUUACAGUACAUUUUGUGUGCAGUUACAAUGCACAUUUACAAUUUCACAUCAUAAACAACCGUUCACUUUCUUAACUAUCUUGCAUUAAAUACAGAUAAAUACCAGAGCUAACGUUAGCAAGCCUGUUAACAAUCUUCAGCUACCGAUAGCGAUAGCGACCUGGCUAACGGAUACCUUGCUAACUAAUUCAGACGAUUUUUUUGUUAAUCAAUCAUGGCAUAAUUACAUAGUACACCCAUUAUUUCUCGGUAACUUUAAAAAAAAAUAAGCAAAAAAAGCAAAGAAACUUACACUUAUGAAUACUUUUGAUCCCAGUUUGGACCUCCUGACUGACUUGUUCCGCCAUCUUAUUAUUAUUUUUUCUCUGGCUUGGGUUCUGGCGCACAGAGUUAUGGGUAAUACCUGCCGCCAUUAAGACAGCAAGACAACUCGGAUGCUCUCUUGAAAAAUGACCGUUAUGUGACGUAUUUCAAGGUAUCUUACUAA